UAAUGUUUAUCAUCAUGAUUUCAAAUUACAAAGCGAGAAAAAUGUCUGUUCAUCUUUUACAAUAUGAAUUUCUGCUAGGGUACCUUGAGUGCAUUAUGCAGAGGGGUCGGAGACGAGGAAUGCGGUAUCUGUAACUGCCGGGCGGGUCACUAUGGGAAGAGAUGUGAAUGCUGGGCCAAUGGCCUAGAUGGCAAAUCUCGUAAAGAAUCGCCAACAGCAGAGGUGUGUUCCGGGCGCGGCAUGUGCACUUGCGGGCAACGCCAGUGUCCAUUCGGCUACUCUGGAAGGUAUUGUGAGUGGGAUGACACUUGCAAUUUAAGCUAUGUGACCCUUAAGCCAUGUGGAGGUCCCGGUAUAGGAAAAUGUAGAGACGGCAAUUGUGUUUGUGAACCAGGCUUCAGUGGACCGGCCUGCGAUUGUAAGGAGGGCGUCGACGCAUGCAGAGCUAAGAAUGGAGUAAUUAUAUUUCAGUAUUUAAAG